GGCAGGCCUAACACAUGCAAGUCGAAUGGUAACAGGAAACAGCUUGCUGUUUCGCUGACGAGUGGCGGACGGGUGAGUAAUGUCUGGGAAACUGCCUGAUGGAGGGGGAUAACUACUGGAAACGGUAGCUAAUACCGCAUAACGUCGCAAGACCAAAGAGGGGGACCUUCGGGCCUCUUGCCAUCAGAUGUGCCCAGAUGGGAUUAGCUAGUAGGUGGGGUAACGGCUCACCUAGGCGACGAUCCCUAGCUGGUCUGAGAGGAUGACCAGCCACACUGGAACUGAGACACGGUCCAGACUCCUACGGGAGGCAGCAGUGGGGAAUAUUGCACAAUGGGCGCAAGCCUGAUGCAGCCAUGCCGCGUGUAUGAAGAAGGCCUUCGGGUUGUAAAGUACUUUCAGCGGGGAGGAAGGGAGUAAAGUUAAUACCUUUGCUCAUUGACGUUACCCGCAGAAGAAGCACCGGCUAACUCCGUGCCAGCAGCCGCGGUAAUACGGAGGGUGCAAGCGUUAAUCGGAAUUACUGGGCGUAAAGCGCACGCAGGCGGUUUGUUAAGUCAGAUGUGAAAUCCCCGGGCUCAACCUGGGAACUGCAUCUGAUACUGGCAAGCUUGAGUCUCGUAGAGGGGGGUAGAAUUCCAGGUGUAGCGGUGAAAUGCGUAGAGAUCUGGAGGAAUACCCGGUGGCGAAGGCGGCCCCCUGGACGAAGACU
rnacentral:rRNA from 1 species